rnacentral:sRNA from 1 species
GUCUAGAUUUGUCCGCUUGCGGGGAGACUUCGGGAGCCGCUGUCUCUGAACUUCCAGCCUCAGAGACCGCCGCCCUUAUCCCCGAGGGCCAUGGGCCGGGUCUCAGGGCUCGUGCCGUCUCGCUUCCUGACGCUCCUGGCGCAUCUGGUGGUCGUCAUCACCUUAUUCUGGUCCCGGGACAGCAACAUACAGGCCUGCCUGCCUCUCACGUUCACCCCCGAGGAGUAUGACAAGCAGGAUAUUCAGUGAGCUCUUGGGACGGGGUGGCCAGAACGAAGAGGUGGUGGGAGUGGAGGGGUCUUAGAAGAAGUCCAAAGGCCUGGGCCAGUCCACUUCCUCUCUGCAGGCUGGUGGCCGCGCUCUCUGUCACCCUGGGCCUCUUUGCAGUGGAGCUGGCCGGUUUCCUCUCAGGAGUCUCCAUGUUCAACAGCACCCAGAGCCUCAUCUCCAUUGGGGCUCACUGUAGUGCAUCCGUGGCCC